AGCAGCCGCGGUAAUUCCAGCUCCAAUAGCGUAUAUUAAAGUUGUUGCAGUUAAAAAGCUCGUAGUUGAACUUCGGGGUUCACCCAUUGGUCAGGCUUAAUUGUCUGUACUGGUGAGAUGAAUCUCUACCUUCUGAGGAACUUUCAUGUCAUUAAUUUGAUGUGAUUGGAAAUCAGGACUGUUACUUUGAAAAAUUGAGUGUUUAAAGCAGGCUAACGUCUGAAUACAUUAGCAUGGAAUAAUGAAAUAGGACGGACUGAUUCUAUUUCGUUGGUUUCUAGGAUCACCGUAAUGAUUAAUAGGGAUAGUUGGGGGCAUUAGUAUUCAAUUGUCAGAGGUGAAAUUCUUGGAUUUAUUGAAGACUAACUACUGCGAAAGCAUUUGCCGAGGAUGUUUUCACUAAUCAAGAACGAAAGUUAGGGGAUCGAAGACGAUCAGAUACCGUCGUAGUCUUAACCAUAAACUAUGCCGACUAGGGAUCGGACGAAGUUAAUUUAUAAUGACGCGUUCGG
rnacentral:rRNA from 1 species